rnacentral:rRNA from 1 species
UACGUAGGGGGCAAGCGUUGUCCGGAAUCAUUGGGCGUAAAGAGCGUGUAGGCGGCCAGAUAGGUCCGUUGUGAAAACUCGAGGCUCAACCUCGAGACGCCGAUGGAAACCAUCUGGCUAGAGUCCGGAAGAGGAGAGUGGAAUUCCCGGUGUAGCGGUGAAAUGCGCAGAUAUCAGGAAGAACACCAACGGCGAAGGCAGCUCGCUGGGACGGUACUGACGCUGAGACGCGAAAGCGUGGGGAGCGAACAGG